rnacentral:tRNA from 1 species
GCAUCCGGAGCUCAGCUGGAUAGAGUACUCGGCUACGACCCGAGCGGUCGGAGGUUCGAAUCCUCCCGGAUGCACCA